rnacentral:rRNA from 1 species
GGGGGGCAGCGGAAAGUAGCUUGCUACUUUGCCGGCGAGCGGCGGACGGGUGAGUAAUGUCUGGGAAACUGCCUGAUGGAGGGGGAUAACUACUGGAAACGGUAGCUAAUACCGCAUAACCUCGCAAGAGC